rnacentral:tRNA from 1 species
ACAGAGUUGGUCUAAUGGCAAGACGUUUGUCUCCAAAACAAAUCACGGAGGUUCGAUUCCUUCACUCUGUG